rnacentral:rRNA from 1 species
AUUACCGAGUUUACAACUCCCAAACCCCUGUGAACAUACCUUAUGUUGCCUCGGCGGAUCAGCCCGCGCCCCGUAAAAAGGGACGGCCCGCCGCAGGAACCCUAAACUCUGUUUUUAGUGGAACUUCUGAGUAUAAAAAACAAAUAAAUCAAAACUUUCAACAACGGAUCUCUUGGUUCUGGCAUCGAUGAAGAACGCAGCAAAAUGCGAUAAGUAAUGUGAAUUGCAGAAUUCAGUGAAUCAUCGAAUCUUUGAACGCACAUUGCGCCCGCCAGUAUUCUGGCGGGCAUGCCUGUUCGAGCGUCAUUUCAACCCUCAAGCCCAGCUUGGUGUUGGGAGCUGCAGUCCUGCUGCACUCCCCAAAUACAUUGGCGGUCACGUCGAGCUUCCAUAGCGUAGUAAUUUACAUAUCGUUACUGGUAAUCGUCGCGGCCACGCCGUUAAACCCCAACUUCUGAAUGUUGACCUCGGAUCAGGUAGGAAUACCCGCUGAACUUAAGCAUAUCAAUAAGCGGAGG